GGAGGAGGAAGGCAAAUCCAAUGGAGGAUUGUAUUUUUUAUAUAAAUUGUAACCUUGAUAAAGAUGGACUGGAAGUCAAAUUUAUCAAUCAGUUAAAUGGCAGUGGAGGAGUGUUCACAUCAAUUGAAUUCUGCAAAAGAGAUUUCCUUUAUGUCUUUGAAAGGCUGGCAAAAAGGAAGCUGUGGAAAGGGAAAAAUUCCAUAGACAAGAAUGUGGGGUCCUAGCUGGAUUUUUUCCCUUUCAGUGGAAAAGCGAAAUGACGACAACUGCAAUAUGGAGACAAGGCAACAUAUGGCUGCAUCCCAUCAACGUCAGAAAGAAGACAGAGCAUCGGCCUGACAGAGAAGACAGCAUUAACAACUAGAGGAAGAGUCUGAAUCAGCUGAAUCUAGUGAUAGUGAAAACCGAGCUUAUCAUCCAACAGACUGAGUUUAUCAUAGAUGGAAGGAAAGUGAAGAAGGG